ACGAACGCUGGCGGCAUGCCUAACACAUGCAAGUCGAACGAGACCUUCGGGUCUAGUGGCGCACGGGUGCGUAACGCGUGGGAACCUGCCCUUAGGUUCGGAAUAACUCCCCGAAAGGGGUGCUAAUACCGGAUAAUGUCUUCGGACCAAAGAUUUAUCGCCUUUGGAUGGGCCCGCGUUGGAUUAGCUAGUUGGUAGGGUAAAAGCCUACCAAGGCGACGAUCCAUAGCUGGUCUGAGAGGAUGAUCAGCCACACUGGGACUGAGACACGGCCCAGACUCCUACGGGAGGCAGCAGUGGGGAAUAUUGGACAAUGGGCGAAAGGCUGAUCCAGCAAUGCCGCGUGAGUGAUGAAGGCCUUAGGGUUGUAAAGCUCUUUUACCCGGGAUGAUAAUGACAGUACCGGGAGAAUAAGCCCCGGCUAACUCCGUG
rnacentral:rRNA from 1 species